GACGAACGCUGGCGGCGUGCUUAAUACAUGCAAGUCGAACGAAGUGGCGAACGGGUGAGUAACGGGUAAUCAACCUGCCCUUCAGAGGGGGACAACAGUAGGAAACGACUGCUAAUACCGCAUACUGAAGGAGGGGAUUGCGUCCGAUUGGCUGGUUGGAGGGGUAACGGCCCACCAAGGCGAUGAUCAGUAGCAGGUCUGAGAGGAGGAACGGCCAAAUUGGGACUGAGGCACGGCCCAGACUCCUACGGGAGGCAGCAGUGGGGAAUCUUCCGGAAUGGACGAAAGUCUGACGGGGCAACGCCGCGUGAGUGAUGACGGCCUUCGGGUUGGAAAGCUCUGUUAAUCGGGACGCGGUACCGGAAUAGAAAGCCACGGCUAACUACGUGCCAGCCGCCGCGGUAAUAC
rnacentral:rRNA from 1 species